rnacentral:tRNA from 1 species
GUGGGUAAAGCUGAGUGGUAGAGCGCAUACCACAUGCAGGAGGUCCUGGGUUCAAACCCCAGUAUCUGCG